GGCCUUGACAUGCAGAGAACUUUCCAGAGAUGGAUUUGGUGCCGUUCGGGAACUCUGACACAGGUGCUGCACGGCUGUCGUCAGCUCGUGUCGUGAGAUGUUGGGUUAAGUCCCGUAACGAGCGCAACCCUUGUCCUUAGUUACCAGCACGUUAUGGUGGGCACUCUAAGGAGACUGCCGGUGACAAACCGGAGGAAGGUAGGGAUGACGUCAAGUCAUCAUGGCCCUUACGGCCUGGGCUACACACGUGCUACAAUGGUCGGUACAAAGGGUUGCCAAGCCGCGAGGUGGAGCUAAUCCCAUAAAACCGAUCGUAGUCCGGAUCGCAGUCUGCAACUCGACUGCGUGAAGUCGGAAUCGCUAGUAAUCGUGAAUCAGAAUGUCACGGUGAAUACGUUCCGGGCCUU
rnacentral:rRNA from 1 species